GAUGAACGCUGGCGGCGUGCCUAAUACAUGCAAGUCGAGCGAGCGGACGAGAAGCUUGCUUCUCUGAUGUUAGCGGCGGACGGGUGAGUAACACGUGGAUAACCUACCUAUAAGACUGGGAUAACUUCGGGAUACCGGAGCUAAUACCGGAUAAUAUUUUGAACCGCAUGGUUCAAAAGUGAAAGACGGUCUUGCUGUCACUUAUAGAUGGAUCCGCGCUGCAUUAGCUAGUUGGUAAGGUAACGGCUUACCAAGGCAACGAUGCAUAGCCGACCUGAGAGGGUGAUCGGCCACACUGGAACUGAGACACGGUCCAGACUCCUACGGGAGGCAGCAGUAGGGAAUCUUCCGCAAUGGGCGAAAGCCUGACGGAGCAACGCCGCGUGAGUGAUGAAGGUCUUCGGAUCGUAAAACUCUGUUAUUAGGGAAGAACAUAUGUGUAAGUAACUGUGCACAUCUUGACGGUACCUAAUCAGAAAGCCACGGCUAACUACGUG
rnacentral:rRNA from 1 species